rnacentral:sRNA from 1 species
UCAAAGACCGGGUAAGCCGCCUUGACGGU